rnacentral:rRNA from 1 species
UACGUAGGUGGCAAGCGUUGUCCGGAAUUACUGGGCGUAAAGGGCUCGUAGGCGGCCAACUAAGUCAGACGUGAAAUCCCUCGGCUCAACCGGGGAACUGCGUCUGAUACUGGAUGGCUCGAAUCCGGGAGAGGGAUGCGGAAUUCCAGGUGUAGCGGUGAAAUGCGUAGAUAUCUGGAGGAACACCGGUGGCGAAGGCGGCAUCCUGGACCGGCAUUGACGCUGAGGAGCGAAAGCCAGGGGAGCAAACGGG